UUAAUUGAAACCAAAAAAGAGGUAUAUCACUGUUAAUGGUAUUAUUGAGACCCGCCCCCUCCAAUUAAA
rnacentral:tRNA from 1 species